rnacentral:rRNA from 1 species
UGACAAUGUUCAACGGCCGCGGUAUCCUAACCGUGCGAAGGUAGCGUAAUCACUUGUCCUUUAAAUGAGGACUAGUAUGAAUGGCACCACGAGGGUUAUACUGUCUCCUUUUUCCAAUCAGUGAAACUAAUCUUCCCGUGAAGAAGCGGGAAUAUAGCUAUAAGACGAGAAGACCCUAUGGAGCUUUAAACGAAACAACACUUGCUAUAACACACACCAAUCUCAGGAAAUCAACCUUUAUCUUAGCACCUUGACUGUUAGUUUUAGGUUGGGGUGACCGCGGAGUAUAAAACAACCUCCAUGGUGAACGGGGGCCUCCCCCUAAGCAAAAAGCCACAACUUUAUGCAUCAACAAAUUGACAUCAAUUGACCCAAUAUUUUGAUCAACGAAACAAGUUACCCUAGGGAUAACAGCGCAAUCCACUUCGAGAGCCCAUAUCGACAAGUGGGUUUACGACCUCGAUGUUGGAUCAGGGUACCCCAGUGGUGCAGCCGCUACUAAAGGUUCGUUUGUUCAACGAUUAAAACCCU